CCUUCCGUAGGGGAACCUGCGGAAGGAUCAUUAGUGAAUAUAGGACGUCCAACUUAACUUGGAGUCCGAACUCUCACUUUCUAACCCUGUGCACUUGUUUGGGAUAGUAACUCUCGCAAGAGAGCGAACUCCUAUUCACUUAUAAACACAAAGUCUAUGAAUGUAUUAAAUUUUAUAACAAAAUAAAACUUUCAACAACGGAUCUCUUGGCUCUCGCAUCGAUGAAGAACGCAGCGAAAUGCGAUAAGUAAUGUGAAUUGCAGAAUUCAGUGAAUCAUCGAAUCUUUGAACGCACCUUGCGCUCCAUGGUAUUCCGUGGAGCAUGCCUGUUUGAGUGUCAUGAAUACUUCAACCCUCCUCUUUCUUAAUGAUUGAAGAGGUGUUUGGUUUCUGAGCGCUGCUGGCCUUUACGGUCUAGCUCGUUCGUAAUGCAUUAGCAUCCGCAAUCGAAUUUCGGAUUGACUUGGCGUAAUAGACUAUUCGCUGAGGAAUUCUAGUCUUCGGAUUAGAGCCGGGUUGGGUUAAAGGAAGCUUCUAAUCAGAAUGUCUACAUUUUAAGAUUAGAUCUCAAAUCAGGUAGGACUACCCGCUGAACUUAAGCAUAUCAAUAAGCGGAGGAA
rnacentral:rRNA from 1 species